UGGAAAAAUAUGUGUCAUUGUUGUACAAUGUCCUUUGACUCUGUUUAAACAAGGUCAACACAAAAAGGUUUGAUUGUAAACUGAUAUCGGUAUGAAUUCAUGUUAUUCUCCUCGUCAAAAGAAACAAACAAUCCAAAUUACCUGCAGAACGCCCUUGAUGGACGCUUCAGCUGCAUCGUCAGACUGGCAGUACUGAUGCAUUUACUGAGAGGGGACGUGAGGGCCUACUCUGCGUGCUCAGAGUUCAAGCCCAGCAGGCUGCAGCGGGCCUGACAUAUUCUGGAACAGCAGCACAGUCUUUGGAUGACUCCUCUGAAGAUGAAAACAUGGCGAGUUCUUCUCAAGAGAAGCAGUACAGGUGUGCCUCAGCUCCACGGUCCCUCCUGCAGCCUCCGCUCCUGAUGCUAACCUCAUGUCUCCAUCACACCAAGCAGCAGACCUGGAUUGACAGACCUUUCUCCAGAGCUGCCCCCUCCCUCUGAAACCCCCCUCUC